rnacentral:siRNA from 1 species
UGUUUUGUGCUUGAAUCUA